CUUUAUUCACUUUUGGGGCCUGUCAGCUGUGACAUGCUCUCUUAGUAGCCCAUGGAAAUGCUUUUUGCCAUUGGAAAAGCUGUUAAUCUUUAUAUUAUAUCAGAUUUGGACUUGCACAAUUAGCAUUC
ensembl:snoRNA